GUCCCUGUGGUGAAAUGGAUAUCACAAGAUCCUCCUAAGAUUUAGUUACAGGUUCGAUUCCUGUCGGGGAUACCA
rnacentral:tRNA from 1 species